CGUCCACCCCUCGGAUGCUGACCAGGCCCACUGCCAGGCUGAUGAACUCCAAGAUACCUGAGGUCAAACACAUAAGCACGGUCACGGAAGCUCAGAAAAGACGUGAAAACCUCCUGCAGCCAAGCUACAGAAGAAGACCUCCUGCUACUCCUGAUGCCUCGCAUGUAAUCAUCAGAUCUUGGAUCAGGUUCCUCGAAGCCCUCUUAACCUCAUCCCAGAGAGGGCAUGAAGAAGGAAAAAAAGGCUGAGUCAGCGGCAAACACCCGGUUAACAAGGCCACAAGAAGGGGUCAGACCCCCCCAUACCCCUCACCUCUUGAGACCCUGACAUCCAUUUCCCUCCCCAAAGAAGAAUGACAGGGAGACUGCCUUUGCUGAGAGCGGCCCCACUGUGUGCCUGUAAGAGCCGAGAGUUGGGUGGUCUGUCCAUCAGCGGCAGAUCUGGGAAACUGGUUGUGAAGCAUGUAAGCAGAUGGAAGAUGAUGAAGGACACUGAUGUAGGAAACUCUGUUGGCCCUACAGACGUUCUGCUUCAACUAAAUCAAGGAAAAGACAAUCCCACUGCAGACUGAAGGAGAGGAAGCAAAAGUUGGGCACUUUAUUCAUCACAGCAAAUGGAAAAGUCAGACUGGAGCGCUCGGAGCUCUCACGGUGAGUGGGUGAUUUCACCAUGCUGUAGGAAACAGAGGUUAAAGACUUUGUGGUUUCAGUUUGUGGGUGUAAGUACUUUUCUUUCUGUUGAAUUUAAUAUUGGAAUAAUGAGCAGAACACAACCACAAUGGCAGGGUUUUUUUUUUUGUUCGAAUGGAAGAUGUGAGCCUUAAGGGGGAGAUGUCACAGGGGUUUGAGCGUUCAGGUAAACAGCUGUCUACUUUCUAGAGAAAGGUAGAGAGCAGCAAAAGUAAAAAAAGAAAGUGACAGACCUGUUCAGGUUUUUGGUACAUCUCCAGUAUGUACAGCUUCCUUCAGACACAUGGUUCUUC